rnacentral:lncRNA from 1 species
ACUAUACAGAACAUCUCGUUCGGAAUUCAGGCUGUAUAGGAGUUAGUGAGGACUGAAGAGAGGAGAGUUAAACAAACAAACAAACACACAGGGCAAGAAAACAGGACCCAACAGCAGACACUGACACCCUCCCUAUCUGCAGUGCAGAGUGAUUCCAAGACCCACACGCGACAUUCCGUGUCUCAGGAAAGGUGGUACCCACCCCAAGCUCAGCCAAGAACGGCUUCCACUCCGGCUUAAUUUUCCGAACCUGUUCUUGUGAUGCUGUUAGGGAGGGUGGCCGGGAAGAGAGGAGAGACCACUGAUCAAGUUGCUGUUUGUUUAUUGGUUGAUUUUUUUUUUUUUUUUUUUUUUUUUAUGGGCCCCUGGCCGAGGAUGAGCUAAGAAGCCUUUUGCGUACCUUGACCUAACCUCACUCAUCCUUCCACACUUCUACACCCUUUUCCUUCCUGCGCGGGGUCCUGAGCGGGUCUAAAUCAAGCAGUGCUUAGAACCUCCCACAACGGGCCUUCAACCAUAUUUGGAAGAAAAGAAGGAAUCCAGAGAGGAAAUGGUUACCUGUGCUUACAGGCGGGCUGCACCACAAGUGCUGACUCAGCAAGAGGGAUCUCUGCGUACCCCUGUCCAGAAAGCCUCUUGAGCAAGGAUGUCAGAAGACUAAAAUGGAAGGACAGUCUCUGAGGGCCCUGGAGCAGGGUAGGAACCUACAUGAGAUAGUCAUUUGCUACCUGCAUUUGGAAGCAUAUACAUUAUUAUGGUUGUUACCAUUUAUAGUAGUAUACUUUGAAGUUGUCCAUCGAAUCUGGACGCAUACUCAAUUUGAAAAUAAAUGAAACCUAAAGGAACAUAGGUGACCAUGAGGGAUUCCAGGGAAUGUUCUCUGGGACGGAACUCUGUGAAGAGGAGGCCUCUAGGGUCAAGCUAUUCAUCAUGGAUACAGCCUUAGAUCCAGGAUCCUCUGGUGCAGUAUUUCCAGGAUAUUAGUGGGGGACUGUGGACCAUUCAAGCCUUGGAACAAGUCUAGCCCAACGACUGUCUAACUUUGCUGCUGACAGAAGCCUGACCCAGCCCUGACCUCGUAGACCUUAUAGGAAUAUGUUCUCAGCUCACUGCUCCACAUUUCUGACUCUGUGACCUCACCAAACAAACACCUGCCUAUCUCAGAGCAUUGUAUCUAUUCAUGUUGAUUUCUGUCUCUUUCUUAUUAGUCUUUUGCACAAACCAUGAACUGGAUGAAAGCUAGAACGGGAUCGUUUGGGUUCUGUGGGGGGGACAUCAGAACUUAACCGUGGACCUGACUUGCAUCUGGCACAGCCUGCUCGCCAGCUCCUAUUCCCUUGCCCACCUGUUCUUUGACCUUGAACGCCCAACCCCUUUUUCUUGGCUUCAGUAUCGUUCUCUCUAAGAGCAGAGAUUAGGAUUAAUAAAUCUAUGAUGUGCUUGUCACAGGGACUAAUG